UACGGGAUAAUAUAUUUGAGAGGCAUCUCUUGAAUAUCAAAGGUGAGCCAGUACAGGAUGGACCCGCGUCUGAUUAGCUAGUUGGUAAGGUAACGGCUUACCAAGGCGACGAUCAGUAGCCGACCUGAGAGGGUGAUCGGCCACAUUGGAACUGAGACCCGGUCCAAACUCCUACGGGAGGCAGCGGUGGGGAAUAUUGC
rnacentral:rRNA from 1 species